GCGCUACAGUCAGNUGAGCGGAGNACAGUANNUUGCUCCGUUGGUAUGGCGGCGCACGGCGGGANUAAACCCUGCCUCAUCGAGCUGGAUAGUGCUCCCAAAAGGUAGAUUAAUACCCGCUAACAUUGUUUACUCGCUUGAGAGGAUAGUCGGAGGCCCUAUCCGCUUUGACAUGGACCCGCGGCGAAGUCGCUAUAUGGUGAGGGAACGGCUCAGCCUGGCCACGAUGCCUAUCCGGACUGAGAGGGAGAACGGGCCUCAUUGCAACUGAGACUCAGACCAGACUCCUACUCCUAGGCGGCAGUGGGAGUGGG
rnacentral:rRNA from 1 species